GACGAACGCUGGCGGCGUGCCUAAUACAUGCAAGUCGAGCGCAGGAAACUGACGGAACUCUUCGGAGGGAAGGCAGUGGAAUGAGCGGCGGACGGGUGAGUAACACGUAAGGAACCUGCCUCAAGGAUUGGGAUAACUCCGAGAAAUCGGAGCUAAUACCGGAUAGUUCAACGGACCGCAUGGUCCGCUGAUGAAAGGCGCUUCGGCGUCACCUUGAGAUGGCCUUGCGGUGCAUUAGCUAGUUGGUGGGGUAACGGCCCACCAAGGCGACGGUGCAUAGCCGACCUGAGAGGGUGAUCGGCCACACUGGGACUGACACACGGCCCAGACUCCUACGGGAGGCAGCAGUAGGGAAUCUUCCACAAUGGACGAAAGUCUGAUGGGGCAACGCCGCGUGAGUGAUGAAGGUUUUCGGAUCGUAAAACUCUGUUGUAAGGGAAGAACACGUACGAGAGGAAAUGCUCGUACCUUGACGGUACCUUACGAGAAAGCCACGGCUAACUACGUGCCAGCAGCCGCGGUAACAC
rnacentral:rRNA from 1 species